AUGAGUUAUGGUCCACAAACAAUACGUGCUACAAGGUACAUAGGUUAAAGUUUCAUAACUACCUUAUCCCACACAAAUCGUUUACCUAUAACGAUUCCCUACCCUUAUGAAAAAUCAAUUACACUAGAGCGUUUCCGAGGGCGAGUCCACUUUGAAUUUUGUGGGAAGGCUAAAUAUCCUGCUGAUUUUCUUGUUCUUGGUUCCCCACAAGAUAGCUUUUGUCCCAUUAUAUUUGGUAGACCCUUCUCGAAUACUGUUAAUGCUAAGAUAGACUGCUAUAAGGAUAUUUUUUCUAUUGGUUUAGGGGAUAUGGAUCGUGAGUUUAAUUUUGCUAAAUUUAGUAGACAACCCCGUGAUGAGGAAUUGCCUAGUAAAGAUGAAAUUAUUGGUCUUGCUUCUAUUGCCAUGCCUCCUAAUGAUCCUUUAGAACAAUAUUUUCUAGACCAUCAAAAUGAUCUGUUCAUGAAUGAAAGAAGGGAACUAGAUGAAGUAUUCUUUAAAUAG
rnacentral:rRNA from 1 species